AUUCUCAGAACUCAAGUUCUGCUUUUACAAGCUACUCUGUUUAUGACAUUUUGUCACAGAAUCCUAAACAGGUCAAGACUCAGACUCAGCCAUCAACCUCUCAGACGUUUCUCAACUUCUUCAGACACAGAGAUUCCUUACGGCCUCAGAUUCUAAAAAAUACAGCCUCAUGAAAUUUGCAUCAAAAUGGAUGGAACUGGAAAAGACCAUCCUGAGUGAGCAAGGCUCUCAGCAGUGGGACCAGGACAUCAACCCAUCCACAAAGCCUUUGACCUACAAUCUGUCCUGCCUUCAAGAUGUGCUGAAGUAAUGGUGGCUCAGAACUUGUGGGAGCAGCCAACCAAUGACUGGUCCAACUUGAGGCCCAUGCCGUGAGAGGGAGUCCAUACCUGACACUGCCUGGAGGGCCAGAAACCAGAAGCAAGACAGCCCAGAGACCCAGGAUAGAACCAAACAUGACUGGGGGGGGGGGGGGGGGCGGGGAAUCAAUGAAAUGAUUCCUAAUGAUAUUCUGUUAUACUCAUAGAUCAGUCCUAGCCCAAUUGUCAUCAGAGGAGUAUCAUCCAGUAACUGAUGGGAGCAGAUGCAGAGACUCGUAGCCAAAUAUUAGGCAGAGCUUGUGGAACCCCAUAGAAGAUGGAGAGGAAGGAUUAUAGGAGCCAGAGUGGACAAGGACAUCAUGAGAACACAGCCCACAGAAUCAACUAAGCUACAGGAGCUCCAAAUUAGGAAACACCAACUGCUUGGGCCUGCACAGCAUUCAGAGGGCUACUACCCUCUCCAAAGAAGUGUCCCCAACACCACCAUCUUUGUGUCACUGUGAAACAGCACCUCAUACACCCAUGGAAGCUGUAAAUAUCCAUGAUACCCCAAAAUGGGUCUCAGAACCCAGACAGACACCCAUGCAGCUGGGCAGGCUUUUGAGAGAGUGUUCUGGAAGAGAAGCCAGGGCUCGGUUGUUUGCAGAGGCCAUCACAGCAAAGUAGACGUCGUUGCAGGCACGGCUCUCUGGGGAAGAACCGCUCCUGCCGAGGCUGCCCAUCUCUCUCUAUUCUCUGCCAUUCUUCCUUCCACCUUGCAUUGCAAGUCAAAAGUUCACCCUUAAAAACCCCUGUUUUCCAGGCAAUUCCUUUCUGCAAAACUCCAUUAGCCGUGGAGGCGAUGUGCGAGAGCUCGUGUGCGAGCACGCUGGCUCUCUCUGAAGCCACGUUAUUGCUGUUGCGGCUGCCAUUCCUAGGCAGGUAGUUUUGAUCCAAAAUGUCUGUGGAACCGCUUAAUACCCAGCCGUGUAUGUACAGUAGUUCCGAGAGACACUUGUGAAGCAGAAAUUGUUUGUGUAGAAUUCGAGGGAAUAGAAACGGACUUCGCUUUGAUUGAAUUCAUUAGUGGUACAUUCUGGGUUGUUCUUUUUUCUAACUGUGACUCUCGCGGCUUUCAAAGUUAUUCCUUGAGAUGCUUUGUCUGCCAUCCUGGAGUCAUUCAGACCUUUGUUCUUUUGAUUUCCCUCCCAAAGUGGUCUCUCUCUGUGAAAUAAAUUGGACAGAAAGAUGCAAA